ensembl:lncRNA
CAGGAAGGUUGAGGGAAAUGAGAUGUCCAGACAAAGAAGCAAUAUGGGAAGGUGAGGUGAGGGAGAAUGACAGCAAGGGUCAGGGAGGUGAAGUGAUGCAUGCUGGGAACAUUAUAGACCUCAUGAAUAUCUCACCAGAAGCGCCUGUCUGAAUCAGUCUCGCUAACACACAAAUACACAGGCAUUUACACACACACACACAUACUCUGGGCUCCUUACGUAACUCACCAUCUGACUGAAAAAUCUUGUGCCGUCUGGAGGCCGAGGCUAACAACAGGUAUAAAUGUGAAACGCCUAUUUAACCAUUUCCAAUGUGUGCCGUUGUUUCUCGUGUGUUUAGGUUAUGUAUUAAUUUUCCUCUUCUGGAACAAAUUAAUUCCUAAUGUCUUUCAUCCUACGUUAAAACAAAGCAGCAUGGAUUUCUUCUGUCCUUUUCUAUAGUUGACUUUGAAUUCUUCACAACGAAAGCAUCCGGCUCCUGCCCUUCCCCAGCCAGUUUAUCUCCUGACGUCUAGAAAGGCAUGCACUUUCAGCGAUACAAUCAUAUGCAGUUAGCUUAGUCAGGGACGUCUAAAAUAGAAAUUGUCCAUCCUCCUGUGACCCAAAUGUCCUAAAACAGUGUGUGAUUCUUAAUAUAUUCUCAGAACUUGGCACCCAUAAAUACUCCAGGGACCCUACAUUUUAUAAACCCUGCACUAUAUACGUUGUCAAGCUCCCCUGUUCCUCUCGUCCUCACACGUCAUCCCGGUACUCUGGCUUUCUCCUACUUUCAGUUCAAACACACCUGAAAAGCAAAAGCAGUUUAAUUCGAUUUCUCAUCGAUGUCAUCGAUAGACAAUGCCACCCAAAAUAAUGCAAUUAUAAUACUAUCAGUCCGCUGUCCACCAGCCCAGCACCCAGUUCAUAAACCUUCUCCUCAUGCUACUAGUAGGUUUUUUUAAUAGUCAUCCACACCUUCCAGUGGGAUCAUCACAAGUCUGACUUAUGUACCCAAUGCAAAUUAAUUAAUCCAGAUACAUUUUUCAAUCCAAAUAGAUGGCAUGGCAAUAGAAAUUAGGGUAACAACUAGCUACUUCGACAGUCGCGAUCAAUGUUCUUUUGUGCUCCCUGGCCUGCGGUGAGCUGGGAGUCCUGUGACAUGAUCUUGGAUCCACCACUACUGAAGGCUGAUGACAGGGAGACGAUGAGGGAGGCGCAAGGCAUGCUGGGAGCUCAUGCCUCGUUCGAACAGUCUUGGGCUGUGAGUUGCCCCUGAGGGGCUUCUGUAAACACUGUCCUGGGUGUGCGUGGGCCGUCUUAGUUUGUUGGUGAAGUGGACACCAAGCUGGGAGCUUUCUAGCCAGAAAGGAGGAAAAGCAGGUGAGGGUGGGUGAGUGCUGUGGCGGUUUGCAUAGGAGAGAGACCGUCUCUACCAGUUCAUUUCCUAUAUGGAAUUGUUUUCAGAUGGUCAUUUAGUGAUUUGAUUUGGAGUUCCUGGACCCACGUAUAUGAAAAUGACAUGGAAAUCACAUUCAAAUUGACCUUACGUUGCUGCAUGUGAACUAAAAAACACCCAUGGCUAAACUUU